rnacentral:rRNA from 1 species
GAUGAACGCUGGCGGCGUGCCUAAUACAUGCAAGUCGAGCGAACGGACGAGAAGCUUGCUUUUCUGAUGUUAGCGGCGGACGGGUGAGUAACACGUGGAUAACCUACCUAUAAGACUGGGAUAACUUCGGGAAACCGGAGCUAAUACCGGAUAAUAUUUUGAACCGCAUGGUUCAUAAGUGAAAGACGGUCUUGCUGUCACUUAUAGAUGGAUCCGCGCUGCAUUAGCUAGUUGGUAAGGUAACGGCUUACCAAGGCAACGAUGCAUAGCCGACCUGAGAGGGUGGUCGGCCACACUGGAACUGAGACACGGUCCAGACUCCUACGGGAGGCAGCAGUAGGGAAUCUUCCGCAAUGGGCGAAAGCCUGACGGAGCAACGCCGCGUGAGUGAUGAAGGUCUUCGGAUCGUAAAACUCUGUUAUUAGGGAAGAACAUAUGUGUAAGUAACUGUGCACAUCUUGACGGUACCUAAUCAGAAAGCCACGGCUAACUACGUG